rnacentral:rRNA from 1 species
GAAGGGAGCUUGCUCCCGGAUGUUAGCGGCGGACGGGUGAGUAACACGUGGGUAACCUGCCUGUAAGACUGGGAUAACUCCGGGAAACCGGAGCUAAUACCGGAUAGUUCCUUGAACCGCAUGGUUCAAGGAUGAAAGACGGUUUCGGCUGUCACUUACAGAUGGACCCGCGGCGCAUUAGCUAGUUGGUGGGGUAAUGGCUCACCAAGGCGACGAUGCGUAGCCGACCUGAGAGGGUGAUCGGCCACACUGGGACUGAGACACGGCCCAGACUCCUACGGGAGGCAGCAGUAGGGAAUCUUCCGCAAUGGACGAAAGUCUGACGGAGCAACGCCGCGUGAGUGAUGAAGGUUUUCGGAUCGUAAAGCUCUGUUGUUAGGGAAGAACAAGUGCGAGAGUAACUGCUCGCACCUUGACGGUACCUAACCAGAAAGCCACGGCUAACUACGUGCCAGCAGCCGCGGUAAUACGUAGGUGGCAAGCGUUGUCCGGAAUUAUUGGGCGUAAAGGGCUCGCAGGCGGUUUCUUAAGUCUGAUGUGAAAGCCCCCGGCUCAACCGGGGAGGGUCAUUGGAAACUGGGAAACUUGAGUGCAGAAGAGGAGAGUGGAAUUCCACGUGUAGCGGUGAAAUGCGUAGAGAUGUGGAGGAACACCAGUGGCGAAGGCGACUCUCUGGUCUGUAACUGACGCUGAGGAGCG